rnacentral:rRNA from 1 species
UACGGGGGGGGCAAGCGUUGUUCGGAAUUACUGGGCGUAAAGGGCUCGUAGGCGGCCAACUAAGUCAGACGUGAAAUCCCUCGGCUUAACCGGGGAACUGCGUCUGAUACUGGAUGGCCUGAGUUUGGGAGAGGGAUGCGGAAUUCCAGGUGUAGCGGUGAAAUGCGUAGAUAUCUGGAGGAACACCGGUGGCGAAGGCGGCAUCCUGGACCGAUAUUGACGCUGAUGCGCGAAAGCCAGGGGAGCAAACGGG